UACGGGGGGGGCAAGCGUUGUUCGGAAUUACUGGGCGUAAAGGGCUCGUAGGCGGCCAACUAAGUCGGACGUGAAAUCCCCAGGCUCAACCUGGGAACUGCGUCUGAUACUGGAUGGCUUGAAUCCGGGAGAGGGAUGCAGAAUUCCAGGUGUAGCGGUGAAAUGCGUAGAUAUCUGGAGGAAUACCGGUGGCGAAGGCGGCAUCCUGGACCGGCAUUGACGCUGAGGAGCGAAAGCCAGGGGAGCAAGCGGG
rnacentral:rRNA from 1 species